GACGAACGCUGGCGGCGUGCCUAACACAUGCAAGUCGAACGGGGUAAUCCUUCGGGGUUACUUAGUGGCGAACGGGUGAGUAACGCGUGAGAAACCUGCCUUUCAGUGGGGGACAACAGUUGGAAACGACUGCUAAUACCGCAUGAUGUUAUUUGGGGGCAUCCCUGAAUAACCAAAGCUUUAUGUGCUGAAAGAUGGUCUCGCGUCUGAUUAGCUAGAUGGCGGGGUAACGGCCCACCAUGGCGACGAUCAGUAGCCGGUCUGAGAGGAUGAACGGCCACAUUGGGACUGAGAUACGGCCCAG
rnacentral:rRNA from 1 species